AUUGAACGCUGGCGGCGUGCUUAACACAUGCAAGUCGAGCGGUAACAGCACUUCCUUGCCUGUCGGACGUUAAACGGGGGAGGAUUAGUACGAAACGGACCACGUAGUUGUGAGUAACGAAUCAAAAGGGGAACUAAGACCUCAUAACGGCUAAGAAUUAGAGCCGCAUAGUUUAAGAGUGUAAGCUACUAUUGCUGCUGCUUGUAGAUGGAUCAGCGGCGCAUUUGAUAGUUGGUAAGGUAACGGCUUACCAAGUCGACGAUGCGUAGCAGAACUGAGAGGAUGACCGGCCACACUGGGACUGAGACACGGCCCAGACUCCUACGGGAGGCAGCAGUAGGGAAUCUUGCGCAAUGGGCGAAAGCCUGAUCCAGCAAUGCCGCGUGCAGGAUGAAGGCCUUCGGGUUGUAAACUGCUUUUGUACGGAAAGAAAAGCUCUCUACGAAUCUAGGCGCGUCAUGACGGUACCGAAAGAGAAAGCCCCGGCUAACUACGUG
rnacentral:rRNA from 1 species